rnacentral:rRNA from 1 species
GAUGAACGCUGACAGAAUGCUUAACACAUGCAAGUCUUUGGCGAAUCUGUGCUUGCACAGGCUAGCCAAGGCGGACGGGUGAGUAACGCGUAAAGAACUUGCCCUGCAGACAGGGAUAACAGACGGAAACGACUGAUAACACCUGAUACAGUUGCCGGCACGCAUGUGCCUGGCAAUGAAAAGAGAUGCUGCAGGAGAGCUUUGCGUCCUAUUAGCUUGUUGGUGAGGUGACGGCUCACCAAGGCGAUGAUAGGUAGCCGGCCUGAGAGGGUGAACGGCCACAAGGGGACUGAGAUACGGCCCUUACUCCUACGUGAGGCAGCAGUGGGGAAUAUUGGACAAUGGGGGCAACCCUGAUCCAGCAAUUCUGUGUGCACGAAGAAGGUUUUCGGAUUGUAAAGUGCUUUCAGCAGGGAAGAAGAAAGUGACGUUACCUGCAGAAGAAGCGACGGCUAAAUACGUG